ACCGGGGUGGCUGAGUCUGGCCUAAAGCGCUGGACUUAUGAUCCAGUUGAGAGUUCCCGCUCUCACGCGGGUUCAAAUCCCGUCCCCGGCG
rnacentral:tRNA from 1 species